UACGUAGGGUGCGAGCGUUAAUCGGAAUUACUGGGCGUAAAGGGUACGUAGGCGGUUUUAUAAGACAGAUGUGAAAUUCCCGGGCUUAACCUGGGGACUGCGUUUGUGACUGUAAGACUAGAGUGCAGCAGAGGGAGGUAGAAUUCCACGUGUAGCAGUGAAAUGCGUAGAUAUGUGGAGGAAUCUCGAUGGCGAAGGCAGCCUCCUGGGUUGGCACUGACGCUGAAGUACGAAAGCGUGGGGAGCAAACAGG
rnacentral:misc_RNA from 1 species